AGGGCCACACUUGUGGCACUUGUGGCUCCCAGGUUAGGGGUCAACUUGGAGCUACAGCCGCCAGCCUACGCCACAGCAACACCAGAUCUGAGCAGAACUGGCGACCUACACCACAUCUCAUGGCAACGCUGGAUCCCCAACCCACUGAGCAAGGCCAGGGAUCAAACCCCCACCCUUGUAGAUACUAUUUUACAAGAUAAAAGGGUUAUGGGGAUGAAUGGUGGUGAUGGCUGCACAACAAUGUAAAUGUAUCUAUCACUGAACCGUGCACUUCAAAAAAUGGUUAAGAUGGUAAAUUUUACGUUAUGGAUAUUUUUCCACAAUGGAAAAGAAAGAAUUCAAUUACAAAAUCAGCUGAAUGUAAAUAUUAUAAAAAUUUAUUUCUGGGAAAAAAUGGUAGGGAUUGCAGCAUUUUCACUUUCACAAUAUUUAGUGAUAUUUUCAUAUGAUUCAUUUGCUUUUGAGAGUUAAAUAAGAAAACAGAGCUUGUUUACUGGGCAUUAGGAAACCCACAGCACGGACAGGAAAAAGCCGCGAGUGCUGGUUUGCUCCUUGUCGGAUAUGUGAGCCAGUUUCCUCAUCAUAUCUCACCAUUAGACUUGAGAUAAAUCAGUCUGCCCUUAAAAAAAAAAUUUUACACAAAUCCACCCUCUCUGCUGACAAGUCUUGUGAUUUAAAAACAACCUAUUGUGAGGUGAUCUCAAUACACUAAUUGUGUAAAGCAUUUAGAAUGAAGCCAGAUACAUAGCAAACAUUACAUGUGUUAUUCUUAUUCCAGAACUACAAAACUGUAUCCACAAGUCCAAAACUCAAACAAACAAACAAACAAACAAACCCCCCAAAAACUAAAAAUCAAAAAUUUGCCCCCCGAAGUCUGGCACAGAUUAAUUUGGGAGCAAAACCUGAUGUGAACUGAUGGGAGGCUAUUGAUAGUCGAUACUCAUUCCUUAUUCUGCAUUAACAAACUUAACUGAAGAAAUAUUAACAUAUUUGAAUGCUCCUCCACACCCCCAUUAGAGGUAUUAUAUUAUAAUAUACUGUAAUAUAGUAUAGUACAAUAAACUGUAUUACCUCUGUAUUUCCUAAAAAUCUGAAAUACUCUUAAUUUCAAAACAUCCUAAAAAACAAAAAAAGUCCCUGGUCCUGGCCUCAGAAAACAGGAGUUUCAAAGAAGGGACUGUGGACCUAUAUUUUAUUAUCCUUUGUUGGCCAGAGACCUGGUGUGACAACCAGACAAUAUAAGAAAACUCGCCAUCUGGUGGUUGCAGUGGAGAACAAGCAAAACCAAAAUGAAGUAAAAUACACAAAAUACUAUUAUUAAAAUUUCCAAUAGCGUAGCAUUUACAAUAACUGUACGUACACAAAAAACUGACUGCAACUUAAAAUUGAUUACUAAGUUGAUUACACUCUAAAUUGGAAUCACAAAUUUUAAAAUACUUUAAAAUUGCUCUAUCAGUUUGCUGAGAUUUCCUUAUCCCAGAGUGACUCUGAGCAGGUGGAUGUAGCACUUGCUACCUAGACCAGAAUACUCUUCGAUAGCCUGCACUUUCUAAUGCUCUCAUUCUCUUGCUUUCUGCUCUCACAGACUUCCUCUUCUUACCUGAUACAACGAAAAUCAAAGGUCUUCCAACACAUCUUUCACACACAACUUUUAUGCCUGAGGUCAGCACAACUUUUCUGCUAAGGGCCAUUUUGGACACUGUGGGCCAUUUGGUUUCACCUACCUAACUCUGUCAUUGUGGACUGAAAACAGUCAUAGACAUUACAUAUCUAUGACAUAGGCUGCAGCAACACCAGAUCCUUUAACCCACUGCGCCUGGGAUGGAAGCCGUGCCUCAGAGGCAACCUGAGCUGUUGCAGUUGGAUUAACCCACUGUAUCGCAGCAGGAACUCCUAAAAACCAUUUUAAGAUGUAAAAACUAUUCUUAGUUUGUGAGCUGUGCAGACACAGGCAGUGGGCCAGAUUUGGCUCAUGGGAGGGCUAUAGUUUGCUGACACCUGGUUUAACCAAGUUUCGCAACCAAUCAGCAGUGACGUCAAUCCUUGUACAUUCUUUUAAAACUCACAGACCUCUCUGGAAUCUCCCACAUUCAGAAGUUAUUUGGCAGGUAAGAUUUUGUUCAGGGAGUGACCUGGAGUAGGGCUGCACCCCUCCUCCCCACCUUCCUAUGGAACCAUCCAGGCUUAGGUAUCACUUUCAUUGGGACUGUCAAGUGGAAUGCUUUGAGUAGGCAGGUAAAAUAUCGUUUUGCUGUUGCUUUCUUUUCCUUUGCUAACCUGGAAGACUUCAUACCUGUAUCAUUACUCUCUGGUCUAAGAUGUUCCUAAAUAGAGCUAACAGAGAUUGAAAAAACUUUCCAAGCUGGUAAAGCCAGCCAUCUGAUUGUUUUUUUGACCUUGGAGAGGUCAUUAAAACAAAAAAAAUAACAACUUUGCAAUUGGGGGUUCUUUUGUGGCACAGUGGGUUAAGGAUCUGGUGUUGUCACUGCCGUGGUUUGGGUC
rnacentral:lncRNA from 1 species